CCUGAAGAGCUUCCAGGAGAAAUUAGUAUGUAAUGACCGCACUCUGCAAGAAGAAAGGCCCAUUAUGGCUCUCGCCGACUGUACUUGGCUUUCAUUUGCAAGCUAAAUGGAUGCGCGCAAAGAGUGGAACAGCAGCAGUGGCCUGUGGACGGGUUUCACUGCAGCUCCGCCAGCCGGCCUGCCAAGUGCCUCAUUAGUAUUCCACGCAGUGGCAUUUGCCAGCCUGAGUGUUGCCUUGGCAACACUGCCCACACAAGUGAUGAUAAAUGGGGCUUUCAGUUUCCUCUUAUUCUCUCUCUCUCUGUCAUUCUUUCCCUCUCUCCAAGCCCAUAAAGCAGUUCUAAGGAGGCCCUGGCCAGUGUACAGCUCCUGGUGCAGGGAAGGGAAGAAAGAGCCGAGGGAAUAAUACUUUAGACAGGGGAAGACUGAGAGAGGAAAGGCAGGAAAAUAGAGGAAGGAGAAAGCAGGGGAAGGUGUAAAUGAGAAUGGUUAGUAGAAGCUGUGACACACAGCACAGAGUGCAUUCUAGGUCUGGAUGGAGAAGUAUUGGUGCCCCUUAAAUAAUUUUCAUUCAUGUAAAUACUGUAUGACAAUGGCCUGUACUGGAAAGCUGCUUUUUUAUAUCUCACCUCUCAUUUCCUUUGACAAACCAUGCAUAAGUGUCACACAUUCGGAACUGUCAUUUCUUACUCCACAGGAGAAUUUGAUAACAAACUUGA